rnacentral:rRNA from 1 species
UACGUAGGGUGCAAGCGUUAAUCGGAAUUACUGGGCGUAAAGCGUGCGCAGGCGGCUUUGCAAGACAGAUGUGAAAUCCCCGGGCUUAACCUGGGAACUGCAUUUGUGACUGCACAGCUGGAGUACGGCAGAGGGGGAUGGAAUUCCGCGUGUAGCAGUGAAAUGCGUAGAUAUGCGGAGGAACACCGAUGGCGAAGGCAGUCCCCUGGGCCUGUACUGACGCUCAUGCACGAAAGCGUGGGGAGCAAACAGG